rnacentral:rRNA from 1 species
AUUGAACGCUGGCGGCAGGCCUAACACAUGCAAGUCGAACGGUAACAGGACUAGCUUGCUAGUUGCUGACGAGUGGCGGACGGGUGAGUAACGCGUAGGAAUCUGCCAAGUAGUGGGGGACAACAGUGGGAAACGGCUGCUAAUACCGCAUACGCCCUGUUUUUAUUAAUAGGGGAAGGAGGGGAUCCAUUUAUGGACCUUUCGCUAUUUGAUGAGCCUGCGUGGGAUUAGCUAGUUGGUGGGGUAAAGGCUCACCAAGGCGACGAUCUCUAGCUGGUCUGAGAGGAUGAUCAGCCACACUGGGACUGAGACACGGCCCAGACUCCUGCGGGAGGCAGCA